rnacentral:rRNA from 1 species
GAUGAACGCUGGCGGCGUGCCUAACACAUGCAAGUCGAGCGUGAAGGUUCGGAUUGAGGCUUCGGCCAAGAGAAGAACUGGAAAGCGGCGGACGGGUGAGUAACGCGUGGGCAACCUGCCCCAUACAGCCGGAUAGCCACUGGAAACGGUGAUUAAUACGGCAUAAGACCACAGUACCCCAUGGUACAGCGGCCAAAGAUUUAUCGGUAUGGGAUGGGCCCGCGUCUGAUUAGCUAGUUGGUGGGGUAACGGCCUACCAAGGCAGCGAUCAGUAGCCGACCUGAGAGGAUGAUCAGCCACACUGGCACUGCGACACGGGCCAGACUCCUACGGGAGGCAGCAGUAAGGAAUAUUGCGCAAUGGGCGAAAGCCUGACGCAGCGACGCCGCGUGGGGGAUGAAGGUCUUCGGAUUGUAAACCCCUUUCGGGAGGGAAGAUGGAGCGAGCAAUCGUUCGGACGGUACCUCCAGAAGCAGCCACGGCCAACUUCGUG